GCACCCCUGCCUGUGUAUGUAUGUAUGUAUGUAUGUAUGUAUGUAUGUAUGUAUGUAUGUAUGUAUGUAUGUAUGUAUAUAUAUAUAUAUAUAUACACACAUACAUACAUAGACAUAGGUGGGGAUUA